UCAAAUGAAUUGACGGGGGCCCGCACAAGCGGUGGAGCAUGUGGUUUAAUUCGAUGCAACGCGAAGAACCUUACCUGGUCUUGACAUCCACAGAACUUUCCAGAGAUGGACUGGUGCCUUCGGGAACUGUGAGACAGGUGCUGCAUGGCUGUCGUCAGCUCGUGUUGUGAAAUGUUGGGUUAAGUCCCGCAACGAGCGCAACCCUUAUCCUUUGUUGCC
rnacentral:rRNA from 1 species